GACGAACGCUGGCGGCGUGCUUAACACAUGCAAGUCGAACGGAAAGGCCCUGCUUUUGUGGGGUGCUCGAGUGGCGAACGGGUGAGUAACACGUGAGUAACCUGCCCUUGACUUUGGGAUAACUUCAGGAAACUGGGGCUAAUACCGGAUAGGAGCUCCUGCUGCAUGGUGGGGGUUGGAAAGUUUCGGCGGUUGGGGAUGGACUCGCGGCUUAUCAGCUUGUUGGUGGGGUUGUGGCUUACCAAGGCUUUGACGGGUAGCCGGCCUGAGAGGGUGACCGGCCACAUUGGGCCUGCGAUACGGCCCAGACUCCUACGGGAGGCAGCAGUGGGGAAUCUUGCACAAUGGGCGGAAGCCUGAUGCAGCAACGCCGCGUGCGGGAUGACGGCCUUCGGGUUGUAAACCGCUUUCGCCUGUGACGAAGCGUGAGUGACGGUAAUGGGUAAAGAAGCACCGGCUAACUACGUG
rnacentral:rRNA from 1 species